CGUUCGGAUUAUUGGGCGUAAGCGCGCGCAGGUGGUUUCUUAAGUCUGAUGUGAAAGCCCACGGCUCAACCGUGGAGGGUCAUUGGAAACUGGGAGACUUGAGUGCAGAAGAGGAAAGUGGAAUUCCAUGUGUAGCGGUGAAAUGCGUAGAGAUAUGGAGGAACACCAGUGGCGAAGGCGACUUUCUGGUCUGUAACUGACACUGAGGCGCGAAAGCGUGGGGAGCAAACAGGAUUAGAUACCCCGGUAGUCCA
rnacentral:rRNA from 1 species